UACAGAGGGGGCAAGCGUUAUUCGGAAUUAUUGGGCGUAAAGGGCGCGUAGGCGGCGCAACAAGUCACUUGUGAAAUCUCCGGGCUUAACCCGGAGCGGUCAAGUGAUACUGUCGUGCUAGAGUGCGGAAGGGGCUACUGGAAUUCUCGGUGUAGCGGUGAAAUGCGUAGAUAUCGAGAGGAACACCUGCGGCGAAGGCGGGUAGCUGGGCCGACACUGACGCUGAUGCGCGAAAGCCAGGGGAGCGAACGGG
rnacentral:rRNA from 1 species